rnacentral:lncRNA from 1 species
UUUGUGACAAUAUGAAAAAUCAAAUGAAAUAUAGGAAGAGUCGCUGGGGGUCACCCCACCCCUCCUGUUUUAGAAUUUAAAAAUGGUCGAGAUCCCCACCCAUUAAACCAUAUAUAUUCAUGUAUGGGACAAUAAUAUAUAACAAAUCAGAUGAAAUAUAGGGGGAGUCCCUUGGGUCACCCCACCCCCUCCUGUUUGAGAAUUUGAAACCCGUUGAGAUUGCCACCCUUUAACCAUAUAUAUUCAUGUACGGGACAAUAUAACAAUUCAAAUGAAAGAUAGGGGGAGUCCCUGAGGUCACUGUUCACCCUCCUGUUUGAGAACUUGGAAAUGGUUAAGAUCCUUACCCCUAAACCAUAUAUAACUCAUGUACGGGACAAUAUAACAAAUCAAAUGAAAUAUAGGGGAAGUCCCUGUGGUCACCCCAACCCUCCUGUUUGAGAACUUGGAAACGGUCGAGAUCCCCACACCAAAACAAUAUAUAUUCAUGUAUGGGCCAAUAUAACUAAUUAAAUGAAAUAUAGGGGGAGUCCCUGGGGUCACCCUACCCCUCCUGUUUGAGAACUUGGAAACCAAUGAGAUCCCCACCCCUAAACCAUAUAUAUUCAUGUAUGGGACAAUAUAACAAAUAAAAUGAAAUGUAGGGGAAGUCCCUAGGGUCACCCUACCCCCAGUGGCGGAUCCAGAAAUUUUCAUAAGUGGGGCCCACUGACUGACCUAAAAGGGGCCUGCUCCAGUCACGCUUCAGUGAUUCCCUAUAUAAGCAACCAAUUUUUUUUCCCAAAAAGGGGGGGCCCCCUGCCCCCUAAAUCCUCUGCCUACCCCUACCUGUUUGAGAACUUGAAAACCGUUGAGAUCCCCAC